rnacentral:rRNA from 1 species
GAGAUGAAUCCUAAAAAGUUCUCUAAACACAAAGGCUUGGUCCUGACCCUAAAAUCAAUUGUUACCCAACUUACACAUGCAAGUCUCCACAUCCCCGUGAAAAGACCCUUACUUUUAAUUUAAAAGUAAGGAGCAGGUAUCAGGCACAACUUCUGCCCAAGACACCUAGCCACGCCACACCCACAAGGGCAUUCAGCAGUGAUUAACAUUGAGUAUAAACGCCAGUUUGACUCAGUCACGGUAAAUAGAGCCGGCAAAUAUGGUGCCAGCCGCCGCGGUUACACCAUCAAGACUCAAAUUGAUAUUCAUCGGCGUAAAGCGUGAUUAAAGUGAAUUUUAAAUUAGGGUAAAACUUAAACUAAGCUGUAACACGCCUGUUAUUAAGAAACCCAGAUACGAAAGCUGCCCUAAUUAUAGCCUCUUGAACUCACGACAACUAGAACACAAACUGGGAUUAGAUACCCCACUAUGUCUAGUCGUAAACUUUAAUUUACACCCAUAUUCGCCAGGGUACUACGAGCCAAGCUUAAAACCCAAAGGACUUGACGGUGUUCCAUACCCAACUAGAGGAGCCUG